UUACAGCCACACCACGUUGAAACACCGAUUCCCGUGCGUUCAUUGUAGUGAAGCAACGUUGAGCAUGGUCAGUACCAAGAUGGGUGACUGCUUGGAAAUACCA